GAGACUGUAGCCAGGUCUGGAAGUCUACUUCAGGUGGGCAGCUUCGAGGACCUUGGUGAUUCAGAGGUGAAGAACAGACAUCCUUACAAUGAAAAGGACCAGGACAGCUCAAUGGGAGCUCCUGGAGGAGCUACAUCGGUCCACACCGGGUCUUUGUGCCUCACUCCCCCCUAGACCUGCAGACGGGACACCGGGUUCGAGUCCUGCUGCCCUCGGGACGGAUCAGCACAGGCACGAUUCGUUACCUGGGCCACCUGGAUGGGGAGCCAGACUUCCAUAUGGGAGUGGAGCUGGAAUCACUUGAACACGGGCAGCAGGAUGGCAUACACAGGGGACAGUGCUACUUUGAAUGCGAGGCUGGCCACGGUGCCUUUGUGCCAUUCACCAAGCUGUUGAUGGCCUGGGAGUGAUGACAUCACAGUCUCUAUGGUGGCGGGUCACAUCUGGAUGAAUCAUUUGAACUCUUUGGCAUCAAUCACGAAUGGUCUCUGAAAGCAAUCUUACACUACCGGUUAAACGUUUUAGGACACCUACUCAUUCAAGGGUUUUUAUUUAUUUGUACUAUUUUCUACAUUGUAGAAUGAUAGUGAAGACAACAUGCUUCGAAGAUCAUAGAAUUGUCAAUAUCGGCCCUGUAUUAAAGACCAACAUUGGCUAAAGAAAAAGAGAACAAAAUUAUAAGAAAUACUAUAUACAGUAGUAUAUACUGUACAUGUAUACAAUGGUAUAUGUGGGAUCAGCACUAACACCAUUUUCUUUGUGUUCAGAAAUAAAAUAACACUCUUGUAGCCUCGAAUAGUAAUAGCUUAUUAUGCAUUUCGA